ACUUUUUUUGCCCAUGAAUUGGGGCACACCCCGAGUUUUUUUCUUUUCCCAGUGCUGCUGCGCCUCCUGACAAAAUGAAUCAUAAGACAGUUUGCUUCCAUGCUCGAAUUUGUGAGAAAGAAAACCAUUCUACCAUUCAGUCAAAACAAGCCGCUGAAGUAUAACACCUUUUGUCUUUUUUCAGGCCUUCUACUUGUAGUUUUGAGAUACUUGUUUUCAACAUCCUGGAGUUUUUUUCCUCUUUUCUCCUAGUCAGGAAGAACCUGGGAAAAGAACUUAGAAAAAGAAUUCUACUAGUUGGGGGAAAAUCAGAGUGCUAAACCUCUGCAUUUUCAAACCUGCUCAGUUCAGCCAAAGCCUGACCAAAUAGAAGGCAUCCCAAUUCAACCAACCUUUUCCCUGAAGAGUGGCCUUUCUUCCCCUUGAGUGUACCUAGACAUGUUAAUAUCUGUGG